AUUUUACAAGCCGUUAUUUUAAAGGAUUGCUUUAACAAUUCCGUUCAAACAUGCUUGUAAUUUAAUGUUACAUUUAUGAUUUAAUAUUAUUUCUUUACAGGAAACCGUUUACCUCAACCAGAGUUAUAUUUCAUAGAAUUAUGCUGACCAUGAUCCAAAUAUUGCCAUGGAUGUGCACUUGUGUCUUAGGCUUAUGCUUUGCAAAAGGUUCACCAUCGCCCUUAAGUUGCUGUGGGUUUUACGGUUUUACUUCCAACCUGGCAUAUAAAUGCACUUAGUAUAUGAAGUUAUUUGUCAAUAACUGGUGAUCAGACUUUCAAACGAACACGUUUUUAAGGGCUGAGAAGGUGAAAGUUAGAAGUCUGCAGACUGUAACGUAAAUAAAUUUUCAACACAUGGUUUUCUGAAUAUAUUUAGUUUUCGAUUGAAAUGAGAAUAAACUGAACUUAUAGAUAUGUUGAAAAUUAACUAUUUUAUAUUUUAAACGUUCGCUAAACGCAAGUGAAGCAAUAAUCUAUAGAUGCAAAUAAACUUUAUAUUUUGUUUUAGUUUAA